GAACGCUAGCUACAGGCUUAACACAUGCAAGUCGAGGGGCAUCAGGAAGAAAGCUUGCUUUCUUUGCUGGCGACCGGCGCACGGGUGAGUAACACGUAUCCAACCUGCCCUUUACUCGGGGAUAGCCUUUCGAAAGAAAGAUUAAUACCCGAUAGCAUAAUGAUUCCGCAUGGUUUCAUUAUUAAAGGAUUCCGGUAAAGGAUGGGGAUGCGUUCCAUUAGGUUGUUGGUGAGGUAACGGCCCACCAAGCCUUCGAUGGAUAGGGGUUCUGAGAGGAAGGUCCCCCACAUUGGAACUGAGACACGGUCCAAACUCCUACGGGAGGCAGCAGUGAGGAAUAUUGGUCAAUGGGCGCUAGCCUGAACCAGCCAAGUAGCGUGAAGGAUGAAGGCUCUAUGGGUCGUAAACUUCUUUUAUAUAAGAAUAAAGUGCAGUAUGUAUACUGUUUUGUAUGUAUUAUAUGAAUAAGGAUCGGCUAACUCCGUGCCAGCAGCCGCGGUAAUACGGAGGGUCCGAGCGUUAUCCGGAUUUAUUGGGUUUAAAGGGAGCGUAGGUGGACUGGUAAGUCAGUUGUGAAAGUUUGCGGCUCAACCGUAAAAUUGCAGUUGAUACUGUCAGUCUUGAGUACAGUAGAGGUGGGCGGAAUUCGUGGUGUAGCGGUGAAAUGCUUAGAUAUCACGAAGAACUCCGAUUGCGAAGGCAGCUCACUGGACUGCAACUGACACUGAUGCUCGAAAGUGUGGGUAUCAAACAGGAUUAGAUACCCUGGUAGUCCACACAGUAAACGAUGAAUACUCGCUGUUUGCGAUAUACAGUAAGCGGCCAAGCGAAAGCAUUAAGUAUUCCACCUGGGGAGUACGCCGGCAACGGUGAAACUCAAAGGAAUUGACGGGGGCCCGCACAAGCGGAGGAACAUGUGGUUUAAUUCGAUGAUACGCGAGGAACCUUACCCGGGCUUAAAUUGCAGUGGAAUGAUGUGGAAACAUGUCAGUGAGCAAUCACCGCUGUGAAGGUGCUGCAUGGUUGUCGUCAGCUCGUGCCGUGAGGUGUCGGCUUAAGUGCCAUAACGAGCGCAACCCUUAUCUUUAGUUACUAACAGGUUAUGCUGAGGACUCUGGAGAGACUGCCGUCGUAAGAUGUGAGGAAGGUGGGGAUGACGUCAAAUCAGCACGGCCCUUACGUCCGGGGCUACACACGUGUUACAAUGGGGGGUACAGAAGGCAGCUAGCGGGUGACCGUAUGCUAAUCCCAAAAGCCUCUCUCAGUUCGGAUCGAAGUCUGCAACCCGACUUCGUGAAGCUGGAUUCGCUAGUAAUCGCGCAUCAGCCACGGCGCGGUGAAUACGUUCCCGGGCCUUGUACACACCGCCCGUCAAGCCAUGGGAGCCGGGGGUACCUGAAGUACGUAACCGCAAGGAUCGUCCUAGGGUAAAACUGGUGACUGGGGCUAA
rnacentral:rRNA from 1 species